GAAUUGAGUAAUAUCACGGACAAUAUGGUGAUCUACAUACUUUGAACUUAGGCAGUUAUAUAUGUACUCGGACUAUACAUGGACUUUGUGGACUGUUCAGAUGUGAUCUCGGUGAACUGAAUAUAUAUUCUCGAAAAAGAGAAUGCUGCAAAAAUAUAGAUUGUAUAUAUAAGUGCAGUAUAUAGCUUUUUGAAUCUUAAUUGUAGGUCAUGACAUACUGACUGUACACAACAAGAUAGGCAAUAUAGUCAUCAAGAAAAGCAGGCUACUAUCAAGGAUCAAUGAUGAAGCUCAAAGGAAACACAAGAAUCUUCACCCGGGUGUCAUAACAGAAUGUCCCAGUGAAUUUCAACAGGCUACAUCUUCGAAACUUUGGAUUAAUUUUACCAACAUCAGCUGUGCAGGUCAAGAUUUAGAACAUCAUCACCAGAGUGAAUCUUCAGUCUACAGAGCAGACUAAAUAAUCUUCUACAAUCCAAGCUUGAGAAAAACUUGAGACCCCCUUGCCACUAAGAAAACAACAGAUGAAAAAAAAAUACAUCAGAAUCGUUUGUGUUUUAUUUAUACUACAUGUAAGACAAAACAUUAUUGAAAAUUUUUAGAUUUUUUGACAUCAGAACAUUGAAAAAAGAGGUAAUACUGAGGAUGCUCAGCUAAGGCACAAUUUUGGAUUAAUGGAUGUAGCAUUAAUGGUGUAUCAGUGAUUAAUCAUAUACCUGUGUUGACUUUAUGUGUAUAUUAUGUUUUAAAAGAUAAGUGACUGUGAUUCUGUUGCUGACAGCAGGAGAAGCAUUUAACUCAGGAAUUCUAAUUGCAUAAGACAUGUUUAUUUAUGUAAUAUCACGGUAU